rnacentral:rRNA from 1 species
CGGAGGGUGCAAGCGUUAUCCGGAUUCACUGGGUUUAAAGGGUGCGUAGGUGGGCAGGUAAGUCAGUGGUGAAAUCUCCGGGCUUAACUCGGAAACUGCCAUUGAUACUAUCUGUCUUGAAUACCGUGGAGGUCAGCGGAAUAUGUCAUGUAGCGGUGAAAUGCUUAGAUAUGACAUAGAACACCAAUCGCGAAGGCAGCUGGCUACACGAAUAUUGACACUGAUGCACGAAAGCGUGGGGAUCAAACAGGAUUAGAUACCCUGGUAGUCCACGCCCUAAACGAUGGAUACUCGACAUACGCGAUACACAGUGUGUGUCUGAGCGAAAGCAUUAAGUAUCCCACCUGGGAAGUACGAUCGCAAGAUUG